rnacentral:rRNA from 1 species
CCUACGGGUGGCAGCAGUGAGGAAUAUUGGUCAAUGGACGCAAGUCUGAACCAGCCAAGUAGCGUGCAGGAUGACGGCCCUCCGGGUUGUAAACUGCUUUUAGUUGGGAAUAAAAGGGGGCUCGUGAGCCCCGUAUUGUAUGUACCAUCAGAAAAAGUACCGUGUAAUUCCGUGCGAGCCGCCGCGGUAAUACGGAAGGUCCGGGCGUUAUCGGUAUUUAUUGGGUUGAAAGGGAGCGCAGGGGGGCUUUUAAGUCAGCUGUGAAAGGCCGCGGCUCAACCGUGGAAGUGCAGUUGAAACUGGAGGCCUUGAGUGCACACAGGGAUGCCGGAAUUCAUGGUGUAGCGGUGAAAUGCUUAGAUAUCAUGAAGAACUCCGAUCGCGAAGGCAAGUGUCCGGGGUGCAACUGACGCUGAGGCUCGAAAGUGCGGGUAUCAAACAGGAUUAGAUACCCUUGUAGUC